CUCCGAAAAAGGUAAAACAGGAGAAAUCCUGUGACACAAAACUAUAGGGUCUAAUUCUUUCUUAAGAUAUGACAGCCAGUUGUCGAG
rnacentral:ncRNA from 1 species